GGAAACCCCUGAACCGAUCUGGGUGAUUUCUGGAUAUGUUGGGCACCCAGAUUGGGGCUAUCAGGGGAUGUAACUUUUGUGGGGUUUUUAUGUAUUUUUAUGGUACUUUUGCAGUGUUUGUGAAAUGUGUGUUUUUUGUGCCUGAAGAUAAUUGAGUUUUGUAUAGUUACUGACUCAAUUAUCUCCCAGGCAUAGGGGAGGGAUUAUCCUGUUUUCUGUGGGAGUGUCAUGGGCGUGCUGAACUGUAUUAGAAACUGUAUAAAAGCAGGCCAUCUGGUCAGAUUAAA